rnacentral:rRNA from 1 species
UCGGGAAUAUUGGGCAAUGGAGGCAACUCUGACCCAGCAACGCCGCGUGAAGGAAUAGAAGGUCUUCGGAUUGUAAACUUCUGUCGUGAGGGACGAAGAAUGACGGUACCUCACAAGAAAGCCCCGGCUAACUACGUGCCAGCAGCCGCGGUAAUACGUAGGGGCAAGCGUGUCCGGAAUGACUGGGCGUAAAGGGAGUGUAGGUGGCAUAGCAAGUUAUAUGUGAAAGCCCGCAGCUUAACUGCGGAACUGCAUAUAAAACUGUUAAGCUUGAGUGCAGGAGAGGUAAGCGGAAUUCCUAGUGUAGCGGUGGAAUGCGUAGAUAUUAGGAAGAACACCAGAGGCGAAGGCGGCUUACUGGACUGUAACUGACACUGAGGCUCGAAAGCGUGGGGAGCAAACAGGAUUAGAUACC